GAUCCUGGCUCAGGACGAACGCUGGCGGCGUGCCUAACACAUGCAAGUCGAACGGAACUGUUUUGAAAGAUUUCUUCGGAAUGAAUUUGAUUUAGUUUAGUGGCGGACGGGUGAGUAACGCGUGAGUAACCUGCCUUCAAGAGGGGGAUAACAUUCUGAAAAAGGAUGCUAAUACCGCAUGACAUAUCGGAACCACAUGGUUUUGAUAUCAAAGAUUUUAUCGCUUGAAGAUGGACUCGCGUCCGAUUAG
rnacentral:rRNA from 1 species